UACGGAGGGGGCUAGCGUUGUUCGGAAUUACUGGGCGUAAAGCGCGUGUAGGCGGGUCUUUAAGUCAGGGGUGAAAUGCCAAGGCUCAACCUUGGAACUGCCCUUUGAUACUGGAGAUCUUGAGUUCGGGAGAGGUGAGUGGAACUGCGAGUGUAGAGGUGAAAUUCGUAGAUAUUCGCAAGAACACCAGUGGCGAAGGCG
rnacentral:rRNA from 1 species